rnacentral:rRNA from 1 species
UUGGAGGGCAAGUCUGGUGCCAGCAGCCGCGGUAAUCCCAGCUCCAAUAGCGUAUAUUAAAGUUGUUGCAGUUAAAAAGCUCGUAGUUGAAUUUCGGGAUCAAGGGAUCGGUCAUGUCUUGGUAUGUACUGGUUUUAUUGGUUCUCACCUUCUAAAGAACCAUAAUGUCAUUCAUUUGAUGUUAUGGGGAAUUAGGACUGUUACCUUGAAAAAAUUAGAGUGUUUAAAGCAAGCUUACGCUUGAAUACAUUAGCAUGGAAUAAUGAAAUAGG